rnacentral:rRNA from 1 species
AAAGGAGGCAGUCCUACGGGACAUCCGUCGAGGUGCUGCAUUGUUGUCGUCAGCUCGUGCCGUGAGGUGUCGGCUUAAGUGCCAUGACGAGCGCAACCCCCAUCGCCAGUUACCAGCAAGUAAAGUUGGGGACUCUGGCGAGACUGCCGGCGCAAGCUGUGAGGAAGGCGGGGAUGACGUCAAAUCAGCACGGCCCUUACGUCCGGGGCGACACACGUGUUACAAUGGCAGGUACAGAGAGAAGCGAUGCGGCGACGCAGAGCGGAACUUCAAAGCCUGUCUCAGUUCGGAUUGGAGUCUGCAACCCGACUCCAUGAAGCUGGAUUCGCUAGUAAUCGCGCAUCAGCCACGGCGCGGUGAAUACGUUCCCGGGCCUUGUACACACCGCCCGUCAAGCCAUGGAAGCCGGGAGUGCCUGAAGUGUGCAACCGCAAGGAGCGCCCUAAGGUAAAACCGGUGACUGGGGCUAAGUCGUAACAAGGUAGCCGUACCGGAAGGUGCGGCUGGAUCAC